GCCCUCCCCCUCCCCCGCCCCGAAGAAAAAAAAAACAUGGAUAAGGUUGCUAUCGUGCCCAUCUUCGCGGGCGCCGCGCUUCCGUCAUCGCGGGUCAUCGCUGACUCCCGUGCGUCUCUCUUUCCUCUGGGUUCUUUGGCGGGUGAGUUGCAGCCCGGAAACAGAAAGCGGACAAGCAACGGAGACGAAGAACACAAAAAGAGCCAAGGUGUCCACAGCAGCACAAGCACGCACACACGCACACAUCAACACAAAGGCAUUUCGGCGAGGAUGCGUGCGUGAAGGGUCUCUUAAGCCGCCGCCGCACCUCUCCUCCCUCUCUAUCUUGUACCCGCCCUUUCUUUGUGUUUUCUUGUUUUGCCUUUUCGCGUUUGGCGCAGGUGCACGGGCGCGGACCGACCAGCAACGCGCCAGGCAGCAACAGCCCUCCGCACUCUGCCCUGCUCCAAACGAAAACGAAACGAAUGGAAAAGGGGUCUCUGUGUCUGGGCUAUCCUGGCGUGUGUCUCUCGCUCUGUAUCGCUGUCUCUCGACGUACGCGUGCUUGUGUGCCCGCCCGCAGAAGAAAAGGGACCGCAGGCACCGCACACGCGCGCGCUCACGCAUACGACUUCGCAAACGCGUCAUCACACGCGUUGUGAACGGACUCCUCCUGUGUCUCUUGCCAUUGCGUCUCUGAUCUCCAGCUCCUUUUCUUUUUUUUUUUGCAAAUGUUUCUCCCUCAUGCUUCAUUGUUGUCGCUGUUGUUGUGUGCGUAUCCCAGGAACACCUUCGUCCACGGCGACCUUGCUGCUGUCAGCUCCACAUGCCGUUUUCUCACGUCAUUGUUGCUGCCCCCCUCUCUCUUUCUCUUUCUCUCCGUCUGUCUCCCCGGUUAAG
rnacentral:misc_RNA from 1 species